rnacentral:sRNA from 1 species
AUGUACCACCACUCGUGCACUCCGGUUCUGAGCGUGUCGUUCGCACCCACCUGACGACUGCCCGCUACGUGUUGUUAGCC